ensembl:lncRNA
CAGGACCCAGAGCUGGCUGCUGCAGGAAGUCCUAGAUCACAACUCUGCCGUUCCUCUUCCCAGGUCUUGCUUUUAACUACUGGACCCAACACAAAGCCUCCCUUGCAGGCUUACCAGAGCAUGAAAAUGAAAUGGCCACCUCCUGUAACAAGAAACACUUCUAGAAGAGGAAGGAGACAUCAAUACAUUCACAAAACCUUCAACUCGAAGUCUGUCUUGCCAAUAAGUGUGCAGGGAUAAAGACAGAAAAGUAGCACACAUGUCUCCAGAGGCUUCACUCGGCAGCUGAAAGCCACAGCCAAUCCUCAGAUAGAGCUCGGGAAGUCUUGUGGAAGAGUGGUGGGGAGAGUGACAAGGAAACUGGUUGGGUUAAAACACUACAAGAAGUCCCCUACCGUCAGAUACCUUGGACCAUGGAGUAUGCUAGAGCCUGU